rnacentral:rRNA from 1 species
UUUGGAUGAGUGGCGAACGGGUGAGUAACACGUGAGUAACCUGCCCCUUCUUUGGGAUAACGCCCGGAAACGGGUGCUAAUACUGGAUAUUCACUGGCCUUCGCAUGGGGGUUGGUGGAAAGGUUUGUUCUGGUGGGGGAUGGGCUCGCGGCCUAUCAGCUUGUUGGUGGGGUGAUGGCCUACCAAGGCUUUGACGGGUAGCCGGCCUGAGAGGGUGACCGGUCACAUUGGGACUGAGAUACGGCCCAG